rnacentral:lncRNA from 1 species
UUUCUAGAGAACAAGCUCUUUAUGGUACAUAGAAAUAAUCCUGUCAUACAGUGACCAUUCAGAGAGGGAUAAAAACCUUAUAUAUGAAACUUUCACUAAUAACCUGAAACAUCACCACAGAGACAGUUGGGUUAUCCUGUUUGUUUGGACAUCCACUUAUUCACUUGAAAUGCAGGAAAUCUAUUUGAAAAAAACAAAACAAAACAUGAUCAGUUACUUGAUACAAUCAUGAGAUGUGAUCGAGAAAAACUUAUUAAGGAAUUAUUUUGUCAGAGUCAGUCUCUCUCAACAAGGCAACCAUACUUCAAUUUACCUAAAGGACAUCCAUCUACUCACUUCUGAAACUGGAUUAAUAAUAUAGCCAGCAUUAAAAAAUGAAGAGCCAUGGUUCAGAUGUUUUUCAGUAUCAUUUAUGCUUGGUGAAUUUUGGAAGCCACAUCAAUAUUGUUCAACUAGAGACUAUGUAAUGGUUGUUGAAAUAAUUAUGAAAAUCGUGACAGAACAUGAAGACGCUUAUAUUUUCAGUAAAGAAAGCAGGACACAAAAUACUAUCAUCAGCCUUGUAAUAUU